CCGUCGUGCAAGACAAAUAUCUGGGCGACGAAUAUCACUCUUUCCGUCGCCUAGGAAUUUUAUCUUAGGAGACGAAUGUUACUGUUCCGUGGCUUCGGUUGUUUAUUUUGGGCGACGAAGGUUAGUGUUUCCGUUGUCCAAGAGAAAUAUCUUGGGCGACGAAGAUUAGAGUUUCCGUCGUGCAAGACAAAUAUCUUGGGCGACGAAGAUUUCUAUUUCCGUCGCCUAAGAGAUUAAUUAGGUUGAAAAAACACUGAAUUUUGUUAUUUAUCUUUUUUUUUUUGGGUUUCACUGUUUCCAAAAAUUACAAAUCAGUAACAAUAAUGAAACACAUACAGAUACAUAUUUACCGGAAGCACUGGAUUUGGACCAUUUUUCAUAUAUUGAUCACAGAUGGACAAAUAAUAUUAUUCAUAUAUACAAAAUAAUUAAUGAAUUAAUUAAUGGGUAGAAAAUUGUUCAUACAAUGUAACUAAACUAUGAAUCUUCUACAAAAUCAAUAAUUCUAAGGACGUCCGUUGUCCAAUUCUAUAUUGUCACCUAGAUCAUCAUUGUUUUGUGGGGAAACAUGUGGAGGAGAAGCAUCUGAAGGUGGAGGAGGAAACUGUGGAGGAGGAGGAGGUGGCAUACUUAGGUGCUCAUGCAAGGCUGCAACUUGGGACUGCAACUUGGGAUUGCACAGCACUAUACAUAGACUCAGCACGCAGGGCAUGCUGCUGGACCUCUUGGAUUUGCUGUUGGGCACGCCGCUGGACCUCUGUUAACUACUGCUGGGCACAAUCCUCUGAUUCCUUUAGUCUCUGCUCAUAGCGCUACUGCACCUCUUGGAGUUGCUGCUCAUCAACUCUAGGAGGACGACUACGUGAAGUGGAAGCAUUUGAAGAAUGGCUCAAGUCUCGCUCGCCUCCUCGUCCCAUCCCUCUGAUCUCCAUUCCUUUGCGAGUUUUGAGCACUGUACCCAACACCUCAAUUUGUUGGGAUUGAAUACUUUCCAUAAUCUGCUCCUUUGUCGUGUCAGGGUGUUGUUCCUUAAAUGCAUCAUUUCGUUUAUAACCUCAUCAAACAUGUCAUUCUGCAUGCAUUUAAAAUACAUCAAUAAAGUUUCCAUAAUAAAGUUUACUGGUUGCAUAAUAAACAGAGAAGCUACUGGGGGUUAGUAGAAGUUUACUGCCCCCCAGUAAACUUCUACUGGGGGUCAGUAAACAUGCAAUUCAUUAUCUCCCUUUCAGUUUCAUGACCACAACACACAACAGAUACCCUAAUAAACAACUUUAUUGCUCCCUAGAAAACCCAGUUGAAGUUUACUGCCCCCUAGUAAAUUUCUACU
rnacentral:lncRNA from 1 species